rnacentral:rRNA from 1 species
AUUGAACGCUGGCGGCAUGCCUUACACAUGCAAGUCGAACGGCAGCGGACCUUCGGGUGCCGGCGAGUGGCGAACGGGUGAGUAAUGUAUCGGAACGUACCUUUCAGUGGGGGAUAACGUAGCGAAAGUUACGCUAAUACCGCAUAUUCUGUGAGCAGGAAAGCAGGGGAUCGCAAGAACUUGCGCUGAUUGAGCGGCCGAUAUCAGAUUAGCUAGUUGGUGAGGUAAAGGCUCACCAAGGCGACGAUCUGUAGCGGGUCUGAGAGGAUGAUCCGCCACACUGGAACUGAGACACGGUCCAGACUCCUACGGGAGGCAGCAGUGGGGAAUUUUGGACAAUGGGGGCAACCCUGAUCCAGCCAUGCCGCGUGAGUGAAGAAGGCCUUCGGGUUGUAAAGCUCUUUCGUCCGGGAAGAAAUCGCAUCAGCUAAUACCUGGUGUGGAUGACGGUACCGGAAUAAGAAGCACCGGCUAACUACGUGCCAGCCGCCGCCGUAAGAC